rnacentral:rRNA from 1 species
GACGAACGCUGGCGGCGUGCUUAACACAUGCAAGUCGAACGGUGAAGCGCCUUCCUUUUUGGUGGGUGUGGAUGAGUGGCGAACGGGUGAGUAACACGUGAGUAACCUGCCCCCUUCUUCUGGAUAACCGCAUGAAAGUGUGGCUAAUACGGGAUAUUCUGGGUCUGUCGCAUGAUGGGUCUGGGAAAGAUAUUGUUUCGGUGGGGGAUGGGCUCGCGGCCUAUCAGCUUGUUGGUGGGGUGAUGGCCUACCAAGGCGGUGACGGGUAGCCGGCCUGAGAGGGUGGACGGUCACACUGGGACUGAGACACGGCCCAGACUCCUACGGGAGGCAGCAGGGGGGAAUAUUGCACAAUGGGCGCAAGGCUGAUGCAGCGACGCCGCGUGAGGGAUGGAGGCCUUCGGGUUGUGAACCUCUUUCGCCAGUGAAGCAGGCCUGCCUCGUUUGUGGGUGGGUUGACGGUAGCUGGAUAAGAAGCGCCGGCUAACUACGUG